rnacentral:tRNA from 1 species
GUUUUAAUAGUUUAAAAAAAAACAUUGGUCUUGUAAAUCAAAAUUAAGUUUUUACUUUUAAAACU